UGCGAGGAGCGCAGCGACGAAGCAAUCCAUUUUGAUCUGUGUGGAUUGCUUCGCUGCGCUCGCAAUGACGAUUUGAGCUGGCAUCACUUGUGGAUCAGCGUUCCCGUGCCCUGAUUGGUGAACAGUUCGAGCAGUACCGCGUGCGGCGUCUUGCCGUCGAUGAUGACCACGCCNAUGACCACGCCCUCGACGCCGGCUUCCAGCGAAUAGAUGCAGGUCUCGACCUUGGGAAUCA
rnacentral:misc_RNA from 1 species